CUACAGCACUGGUGCAAAGCCUUGCAAAGUCUCUAUUGCACUAUUCGUCGCCUAUUCGCGCACUAUUCGUACUAUUCGUCGACUAUUUGUACUAUUCGUCGACUAUUCGCACUAUUCGUCGACUAUUCGCGGACUAUUCGUCGACUAUUCGCACUAUUCGCGUCACUAUUCUAGUUUUAUCAAUUGCCAAAGUUAUGCGAAAUCAACUUUUAUUUCAUGCUGUUACGGCCGUUUAGCGAUUCCCGUUUUCGUUAUAGUACUGUACACACGUUAAAAUUGGCUUGUUCCUCACGCGUCUCUUAAUAAUUUUUAUUCGUUGAACGUUUUCGUAUUACAGAUAAGAAACGGUAGAAAACGUACCGAACUAUUACAACAACAACUAAUCUACCGUUCUACUCUGACUUAUAAAUGUUCCGACAUAAUGCCUAUAGAAAAUUAAUAUUUAAAUUGUUCAAGGUUCAGUAAUUAUUAAACUAUAAAUGAGUCAUUGCCACAACAUCUGGCUCCCCUAAGAGGGUUCGAUGACACUCUUAAAUACAUGCACACAAAUAAAG